UACACGUUUCCAAGGAAACGGAACUAACCGCCAUGAAUCAUAACAAGAUUGUGUUUGCUUUUCCUCAGCAGAGUGAUGAAGGCUCUUUGGGGACCUAAUGUAUCCUUCUAUUGGAACGCAGGAGGAUGUGCUUCCUUCUGCCGUGUGGAACCACGUCGAGCCUGAACCGGGAGACGUCACGAUGAAGUGGAAAAUUCAUCGGUAUCAUCAUGGAGGACGACAACAAGUGCAAUAAGUGACAUCACAAUUCCCUCAAUCCCUUUCCCGUGAACAUUAUUUCCUUAAUGCGACGUGUAAACCAGCCACAACCUUGAACACAAACAUUUAAUCCGGGACCACGAAGCCGUUUGUUAAUGAGCAUUUCCCACCAUGCAGCAGGGAAACAUUUAAACAUGAGUAUCCACCUGCAUAAUCAUAAAACAUCUUAAAAGUAUUUACAACCGGCCAUUCAACCCUUUAAUUUAGUAAUUUAAUAAGAUAGCAUUUGCUUAAAACAUUUCCUUGAUUUAGGGCAGUCUAAGUUGAUACUGGAACUAAUCCUUUAUGCUUUGUCAGAUUAUUUAAAGUACAUGCAAGAGGCAGAAAGAGGAGGAUGCCCUUUAGACCAAAUUAGAGCCCGACGAGUCCUUCCUCAACUCCUGUGAACUCCCGUCGCACUAAAAUGGUCAUUUUAUUUAGGAUCGGGCUCUCCUGAGUAACGCGUGACGACGUGCGAUGCUUUGAACAGGAGUCUGAUUCCUAACAGCGUGACGUGUUGACAGCCCUUUGUGAUGUCAGCUGCAAUCCAGAAGCCACUCAGUCGGGAUCAAAUGCUUCCUCUCAUCCGGAUCUGCAUUCCCUCGGCCUGAGCAUCAAAGGUUCGCCGCGAUGAGUCGGGAUUAUUCAGCAGGGAAAGGUGUGACUGGAGAAGCCGAGAAAGGGCUUUUCUGUCUCACGCUGAUUGGAGUCACGGAGGGCGACGUUGUGGUGUUAAUUGCGAUUACUCGUCAAAUGAAUCCCUGUCAUAACACGUCUGCUUGCCGCUCGUACGUUUGCAAAGUUACAUCAGCCGACUCGGCCUGUGAUCUGGGAGCCGUGAUCUUUUGAUCCCCCCCGUCCUGUGAUCACUGACACCCCCCCACCCCUCCUCCUCCUUCACCGUUGCCAAUUUAAUGGCACAUUUUGAAAAUGAUCCCCGGUUAGGUUUCUUUUCCCAUCC
ensembl:lncRNA